rnacentral:rRNA from 1 species
GGGCUCGCAGGCGGUUUCUUAAGUCUGAUGUGAAAGCCCCCGGCUCAACCGGGGAGGGUCAUUGGAAACUGGGGAACUUGAGUGCAGAAGAGGAGAGUGGAAUUCCACGUGUAGCGGUGAAAUGCGUAGAGAUGUGGAGGAACACCAGUGGCGAAGGCGACUCUCUGGUCUGUAACUGACGCUGAGGAGCGAAAGCGUGGGGAGCGAACAGGAUUAGAUACCCUGGUAGUCCACGCCGUAAACGAUGAGUGCUAAGUGUUAGGGGGUUUCCGCCCCUUAGUGCUGCAGCUAACGCAUUAAGCACUCCGCCUGGGGAGUACGGUCGCAAGACUGAAACUCAAAGGAAUUGACGGGGGCCCGCACAAGCGGUGGAGCAUGUGGUUUAAUUCGAAGCAACGCGAAGAACCUUACCAGGUCUUGACAUCCUCUGACAAUCCUAGAGAUAGGACGUCCCCUUCGGGGGCAGAGUGACAGGUGGUGCAUGGUUGUCGUCAGCUCGUGUCGUGAGAUGUUGGGUUAAGUCCCGCAACGAGCGCAACCCUUGAUCUUAGUUGCCAGCAUUCAGUUGGGCACUCUAGGGUGACUGCCGGUGACAAACCGG